UUCGCAAUGCCCGAAAGGGUGACGAUGCGACGCCGCGUGAGCGAAGAAGGCCCUAGGGUUGUAAAGCUCUGUCGAGGGUUAUGAAAUAUAGAUGGGUUAAUACCCCAUUUAUUUGACAAAAGCCCAAAAGGAAGCCACGGCUAACUCUGUGCCAGCAGCCGCGGUAAUACAGAGGUGGCGAGCGUUGUUCGGUAUUAUUGGGCGUAAAGAGCACGUAGGUGGUUUUGUAAGUCAGGUGUGAAAGCCUUCUGUUCAAAGGAAGAACGGCAUCUGAAACUGCAGAUCUUGAGUGUAGGAGGGGAGAGUGGAACUUCUGGUGGAGCGGUGAAAUGCGUAGAUAUCAGAAGGAACGUCGGCGGCGAAAGCGGCUCUCUGGCCCGUAACUGACGCUGAGGUGCGAAAGCUAGGGGAGCAAACGGGAUUAGAUACCCCGGUAGUCCUAGCCGUAAACGAUGGGCACUAAGUAGAGGGGUUUU
rnacentral:rRNA from 1 species